rnacentral:rRNA from 1 species
CGAUAACCGCUGAAAGCAUCUAAGUGGGAAGCCCACCUCAAGAUGAGUGCUCUCACUACUAAAAGUAGGUAAGGUCACGGGCAGAACACCCGUUGAUAGGCGGUAGGUGGAAGUGCAGUAAUGUAUGUAGCCGAGCCGUGCUAACAGACCGAGGGCUUGACCUCA